GACGAACGCUGGCGGCGUGCUUAACACAUGCAAGUCGAACGGAAAGGCCCUGCUUUUGUGUGGUGCUCGAGUGGCGAACGGGUGAGUAACACGUGAGUAACCUGCCCUUGACUUUGGGAUAACUUCAGGAAACUGGGGCUAAUACCGGAUAGGAGCUCCUGCUGCAUGGUGGGGGUUGGAAAGUUUCGGCGGUUGGGGAUGGACUCGCGGCUUAUCAGCUUGUUGGUGGGGUAGUGGAUUACCAAGGCUUUGACGGGUAGCCGGCCUGAGAGGGUGACCGGCCACAUGGGGACUGAGAGACGGCCCAGACUCCUACGGGAGGCAGCAGUGGGGAAUAUGGCACAAUGGGCGGAAGCCUGAUGCAGAAACGCCGCGUGCGGGAUGACAGCCUUCGGGGUGUAAACCGCUUUCGCAUGUGACGAAGCGUGAGUGACGGUAAUGGGUAAAGAAGCACCGGCUAACUACGUG
rnacentral:rRNA from 1 species